AUGCUGCCUUCACCAACUGGUAUCUAAGGCGAGUCAGCCAAGGAUUUAAAAGGGAACAUGGUGCGCAUCCAUUGCAACUCCAUGACUGCCCCCGCAACUGUAGGCGCUUGGGUGUUCUGCGUGUGCCACUGGAUGGAAAUCUGGGAAGGUGCGGACCACUAAUAGGCGCAAGUCAGGAGACCUGCCAUUGGGACUAAAAUUCA
rnacentral:ncRNA from 2 species